rnacentral:SRP_RNA from 1 species
GCCGGGCGUGGUGGCGGGCGCCUGUAAUCCUAGCUAUUUGGGAGGCUGAGGCAGGAGAAUCGCUUGAACCCGGGAGGCGGAGGUUGCAGUGAGCCAAGAUCGCGCCACUGCAUUCCAGCCUGGGCAACAGAGCAAGACUCUGUCUCAA